UUCAGUUUGAAAGUUGAGUUACCUCUUAACAUCCCUCGGAUAGAGGAUGUUUUUCCUGCUUUGUCAAGACCGACCACAAGAAUGGUCACUUUCCUGCAUAGAAGUAAAUACAUUAUAGAAAUCAUGUCAGAUGACAUCAAUGCAAAUCAAUUUUAGACCAAAGGAAUAAGAAAGCCAAAAGAUCUCAUGGUGACUUGUCUAGAUUUCUCUGUCCGGAAAGAAAUCUUCCCCCAACAACAGCACAGACAUUUUACAAUCAAUCUAGGAGUAUGGAAGCAAAUCAUUGCCAUAAUAAUCUGAAUUAUAUCAGCAACUAAAUAACAAAUUUUGAAAUGAAAUCACUACAGAAUACUUAGUGUUGAAAUUUAAAUACAACUGAAUUUAUUGCACUGAAAUAUUUUACUUUUAAAACCAUCUUCCUGAAUGUAUGUGUUCUGAAUUUCACUUUGUAAAAUUCUUAAUAUGGUAUUUAGUUGCUGAUAUAAUUCAAAUUAUUAUAGCAAUGAUUUGCUUUCAUAUAGGAGUCUUCAUUGUACUCACUGUAGCCCAACUUUAGGCUGAUUAAACCUGUUUUUUUAAUCAUUUUGGAAGAUUUAACCUUCACUUAAUGCAGCAUGUGCAUCACUGACCACAUUCCUCUUUUAGACUCAUGCAUUUUUAAUCUGUGUUUUUCAAGAAAUCUCAUUAUCUUAUCAUCUACCUGAUUGGCUCCUGUAUUUUGGAGACCCAGGUGCAGCAGUUGCUCAUCAGGUUGAACAUUGUUGCGUGAGGUGAGCAAGGUGAGCACAGUGGCCACCAUUUUCUCUGGAACUGGUACCUGAAAACAGAUGGUCAAUCUUAGCAUGACUCACACACACACGGACACACAAGUACACAAAUAGGGCUGUUCAGCUGAGUCACUGGAGGUCAUGGCCAGGUCCAACACAAAGAUGCUGUGUGUCUGGCUCCUGUGAGCUUAGGAGACUUUUACAGAUGGUCACUCACUGGUAAUGUGUUCACUGCCAAGUGUCUCUCCCUCUUUACCUCCUCUGAAUCCAAAAUUAGCUUGUUGCUAACCUUCUUUAGCUCACUUCAAAUUCAAAGCUUUUUUUCUUUUUUUUUUUUG